rnacentral:rRNA from 1 species
UACGUAGGGGGCAAGCGUUGUCCGGAAUUAUUGGGCGUAAAGCGCGCGCAGGCGGUCUCUUAAGUCUGAUGUGAAAGCCCACGGCUCAACCGUGGAAGGUCAUUCGAAACUGGGAGACUGGAGUAUAGGAGAGGAAAGCGGAAUUCCACGUGUAGCGGUGAAAUGCGUAGAGAUGUGGAGGAACACCAGUGGCGAAGGCGACUUUCUGGACUAGUACUGACGCUGAGACGCGAAAGCGUGGGGAGCAAACAGG